ACCCUAUCAAACUAUGAAUACUAUAUGUGGAAUCACAGGAGUCAGGCGGUGGGUGAUAAAAUCCAUCGUCGAGAGGGGAACAACCCAGACUAACAGCUAAGGUCCCUAAGUCACAUCUAAGUGGAAAACGAUGUGGAGUUACUGUGACAACCAGGAGGUUGGCUUAGAAGCAGCCAUCCUUUAAAGAAAGCGUAACAGCUCACUGGUCUAGUGAUUCUGCGCGGAAAAUAUAACGGGGCUAAGAUGUGCACCGAAGCUUUAGAUUCGAAUUUAUUCGAGUGGUAGGAGAGCGUUCUAUUCAGCGUUGAAGAUGUACCGGCAAGGAGCGUUGGAGCGGAUAGAAGUGAGCAUGCAGGCAUGAGUAGCGAUAAUUGAGGUGAGAAUCCUCAACGCCGAAAACCCAAGGUUUCCUACGCGAUGCUCGUCAUCGUAGGGUUAGUCGGGUCCUAAGUCGAGUCCGAAAGGGGUAGACGAUGGCAAAUUGAUUAAUAUUUCAAUACCAACAUACAAGCGCGAUGUGGGGACGCAUAGAGUUAAUCGAGCUCACUGAUGGAAUAGUGGGUCGAAGGACGUAGGCUGUAACUUAGGCAAAUCCGGGUUGCAAUAGGCCGAGAUCUUACAGGCUCCUGACACUCUUCGGAGGAGAGGGAGAAUCGAUGAUACUGUCGUGCCAAGAAAAGCCACUAAGUAUAUUGUAUGUUGCCCGUACCGUAAACCGACACAGGUGGGUGGGAUGAGUAUUCUAAGGCGCGUGGAAGAACCCUGGUUAAGGAACUCUGCAAACUAGCACCGUAUCUUCGGUAUAAGGUGUGCCUACUUUGGUAUAUGGACUUGCUCCAAAAAGCUAGAGAGGUUGCAACAAAGAGUCCCUCCCGACUGUUUACCAAAAACACAGCACUUUGCUAACACGUAAGUGGAUGUAUAAGGUGUGACGCCUGCCCGGUGCUCGAAGGUUAACUGAUGAUGUCAGCGCAAGCGAAGCAUUUGAUUGAAGCCCGAGUAAACGGCGGCCGUAACUAUAACGGUCCUAAGGUAGCGAAAUUCCUUGUCGGUUAAAUACCGACCUGCAUGAAUGGCGUAACGAGAUGGGAGCUGUCUCAACCAGGGAUCCAGUGAAAUUGUAGUGGAGGUGAAAAUUCCUCCUACCCGCGGAAAGACGGAAAGACCCCGUGCACCUUUACUACAGCUUGACACUGUAGCUUGGAUAUUCAUGUGCAGGAUAGGUGGGAGGCUAUGAUGCUAGGACGCAAGUACUAGCGGAGCCAUCCUUGAGAUACCACCCUUGAAUAUUUGAGUUACUAACUGCGUACAAUUAUCUUGUAUCAGGACAAUGUCUGGUGGGUAGUUUGACUGGGGCGGUCGCCUCCUAAAAAGUAACGGAGGCUUACAAAGGUUAGUUCAUGGCGGAUGGAAAUCGCCAGUUGAGUAUAAUGGCAUAAACUAGCUUGACUGUGAGACAUACAAGUCGAACAGAGACGAAAGUCGGUCAUAGUGAUCCGGUGGUUCUGUGUGGAAGGGCCAUCGCUCAAAGGAUAAAAGGUACGCCGGGGAUAACAGGCUGAUCUCCCCCAAGAGCUCAUAUCGACGGGGGGGUUUGGCACCUCGAUGUCGGCUCGUCACAUCCUGGGGCUGGAGAAGGUCCCAAGGGUUGGGCUGUUCGCCCAUUAAAGUGGCACGCGAGCUGGGUUCAGAACGUCGUGAGACAGUUCGGUCUCUAUCUACUGUGGGCGUUAGAAAUUUGAGUGGAUCUGAUUCUAGUACGAGAGGACCGAAUUGGACAAACCUCUAGUGUAUCUGUUGUCCCGCCAGGGGCACCGCAGAGUAGCUACGUUUGGAAGGGAUAAGCGCUGAAAGCAUAUAAGCGCGAAACCCACCACAAGAUGAGAUUUCUUUUAAGGGUCGUGGGAGAUGACCACGUUGAUAGGCUAUAGAUGUAAAGGCAGUAAUGUCAUAGUCGAGUAGUACUAAUAACCCGUAAGCUUAUGUACG
rnacentral:rRNA from 1 species